AUUGAACGCUGGCGGCAGGCCUAACACAUGCCAGUCGAGCGAGCGGCGGACGGGUGAGUAAUGUCUGGGAAACUGCCUGAUGGAGGGGGAUAACUACUGGAAACGGUAGCUAAUACAGCAUACCAUCAGAUGUGCCCAGAUGGGAUUAGCUAGUAGGUGUGGUAACGGCUCACCUAGGAGACGAUCCCUAGCUGGUCGGAGAGGAUGACCAGCCACACUGGAACGGCGACACGGUCCAGACGCCUACGGGAGGCAGCAGUGGGGAAUAUUGCACAAUGGGCGCAAGCCUGAUACAGCCAUGCCGCGUGUGUGAAGAAGGCCUUCGGGUUGUAAAGCACUUGCAGCGGGGAGGCGUUACCCGCAGAAGAAGCACCGGCUAACUCCGUGCCAGCAGCCGCGGUAAUAC
rnacentral:rRNA from 1 species